UUUUGACCUCGGAUCAGGUAGGGAUACCCGCUGAACUUAAGCAUAUCAAUAAGGCGG
rnacentral:rRNA from 1 species